UUGGUAUGCACUGGCUUUACUGAUUCCUCCUUCUUGACGAACCGUGAUGUCAUUAAUUUGGUGUUGCGGGAAAUCAGGACUGUUACUUUGAAAAAAUUAGAGUGUUUAAAGCAGGCUAACGCUUGAAUACAUUAGCAUGGAAUAAUGAAAUAGGACGUUAAUCCUAUUUUGUUGGUUUCUAGGAUCGACGUAAUGAUUAAUAGGGAUAGUUGGGGGCAUUAGUAUUCAAUUGUCAGAGGUGUAAUUCUUGGAUUUAUUGAAGACUAACUACUGCGAAAGCAUUUGCCAAGGAUGUUUUCAUUAAUCAAGAACGAAAGUUAGGGGAUCAAAAACGAUCAGAUACCGUCGUAGUCUUAACCAUAAACUAUGCCGACUAGGGAUCGGAUGAUGUUAAUUCUUUAAGG
rnacentral:rRNA from 1 species